rnacentral:rRNA from 1 species
GAGUUUGAUCGUGGCUCAGGAUGAACGCUGGCGGCGUGCUUAACACAUGCAAGUCGAACGAAGCGCCUUAUUUGAUUUUCUUCGGAACUGAAGAUUUGGUGACUGAGUGGCGGACGGGUGAGUAACGCGUGGGUAACCUGCCCUGUACAGGGGGAUAACGAAUCAGAAAUGACUGCUAAUACCGCAUAAGACCACAGCACCGCAUGGUGCAGGGGUAAAAACUCCGGUGGUACAGGAUGGACCCGCGUCUGAUUAGCUGGUUGGUGAGGUAACGGCUCACCGAAGGCGACGAUCAGUAGCCGGCUUGAGAGAGUGAACGGCCACAUUGGGACUGAGACACGGCCCAAACUCCUACGGGAGGCAGCAGUGGGGAAUAUUGCACAAUGGGGGAAACCCUGAUGCAGCAACGCCGCGUGAGUGAAGAAGUAUUUCGGUAUGU